UCUCAAACUAUAAAUUAAGUUAGCACUAAUUUAUCUGGGUUGUGAAAGAUUAUCUUCUGCCAUCUUCUAAGAGAAGCAAAUUCUAUAGCUGAUUCCUUAGCUAAACAAAGUCUUAACAGGCUUGAAGAUUUUGUGACAUUUUUCUAAUUCUUGUUGUUCCUUUUGUGCUUAGGAUUUUGGAAUCCUGGUUAAUCAGGGACUAUCUUUG
rnacentral:misc_RNA from 1 species